UACGGGAGGCAGCAGUGGGGAAUAUUGCACAAUAGGCGAAAGCCUGAUGCAGCUAUGCCGCGUGUAUGAAGAAGGCCUUAGGGUUGUAAAGUACUUUCAUCGGGGAGGAAAAACAAAACUAAUAAUUUUAUUUCUUGACGUUACCCGAAAAAGAAGCACCGGCUAACUCCGUGCCAGCAGCCGCGGUAAUACGGAGGGUGCUAGCGUUAAUCAGAAUUACUGGGCGUAAAGAGCACGUAGGUGGUUUUUUUAAGUCAGAUGUGAAAUCCCUGGGCUUAACCUAGGAACUGCAUUUUGAAACUGAAAUACUAGAGUAUCGUAGAGGGAGGUAGAAUUCUAGGUGUAGCGGUGAAAUGCGUAGAUAUCUGGAGGAAUACCUGUGGCGAAAGCGGCCUCCUAAACGAAUACUGACACUGAGGUGCGAAAGCGUGGGGAGCAAACAGGGAUUAGAUACC
rnacentral:rRNA from 1 species